rnacentral:lncRNA from 1 species
UUUAUAUAUAUAUAUAUAUAUAUAUAUAUAUAUAUAGAGUCCGGCUACUAUACUUUUAUGAGUAUUAGCUCCCUUAUACUCAUAAGUUUUCGGCCCUUUGAUUUAUUCCAUUAGUUAUUUUCAUCCGUUAGAUCAUACUAUUUAACCAACUAUCCACUCAACCCUAGAGGACCACUAACAUUUUAAGUGGGGACCACCAUCAUCCUAACCAUACAUUCUAUUAAUUAACGGUUAAAAAUUUAUGAGUACAAUGAGGUCUAUACUCAUAAGAGUAUAGUAACCCCGGCCUAUUANAGGACUCUAUACUCAUAAGAGUAUAGUAACCCCGGCCUAUAUAUAUAUAUAU